GGCCUCAUAGCUCAGUUGGCUAGAGCGUUGGCUGUUUUAAAGCCUUUCCCUUGAUGGCGUGGGUUCUAAUCCCACCGAGGCCG
rnacentral:tRNA from 1 species